CGCCUGUUUAACAAAAACAUGUCUUCUUGUUAUAUUUAAGAAAUCUGGCCUGCCCAGUGAAAAUAAUUUAACGGCCGCGGUAUACUGACCGUGCAAAGGUAGCAUAAUCAUUAGUCUUUUAAUAGAGGGCUGGUAUGAAGGGUUUAACGAGGUGUUGACUGUCUCAUUUAAUUUGAAUUUAGAAUUUAAUUUUUUAGUUAAAAAGCUAAAAUAUUAUUGGAAGACGAGAAGACCCUAUAGAGCUUUAUAUUUUUAUUAUUAAUUUAUUUUAGUUUAUUAUUAUUUAUUAUUAAUAGAAAAUAUUUUGUUGGGGUGACAAAAAUAUAUAAAUAACUUUUUCAUUUAUUUUACAUUGAUAUAUGAAUAUUAGAUCCAAUCUUAUUGAUUGAUAGAUUAAGUUACCUUAGGGAUAACAGCG
rnacentral:rRNA from 1 species